GCCCUCUUAGCUCAGUUGGUAGAGCGCAUGACUCGUAGGCCCUUCCCGGCUAAGUCAUCAUGAGGUCUGCGGUUCGACUCCGCAAGGGGGCA
rfam:Aspergillus wentii DTO 134E9 unplaced genomic scaffold ASPWEscaffold_1, whole genome shotgun sequence.